rnacentral:rRNA from 1 species
GAUGAACGCUGGCGGCGUGCCUAAUACAUGCAAGUCGAGCGAACGGACGAGAAGCUUGCUUCUCUGAUGUUAGCGGCGGACGGGUGAGUAACACGUGGAUAACCUACCUAUAAGACUGGGAUAACUUCGGGAAACCGGAGCUAAUACCGGAUAAUAUUUUGAACCGUAUGGUUCAAAAGUGAAAGACGGUCUUGCUGUCACUUAUAGAUGGAUCCGCGCUGCAUUAGCUAGUUGGUAAGGUAACGGCUUACCAAGGCAACGAUGCAUAGCCGACCUGAGAGGGUGAUCGGCCACACUGGAACUGAGACACGGUCCAGACUCCUACGGGAGGCAGCAGUAGGGAAUCUUCCGCAAUGGGCGAAAGCCUGACGGAGCAACGCCGCGUGAGCGAUGAAGGUCUUCGGAUCGUAAAACUCUGUUAUUAGGGAAGAACAUAUGUGUAAGUAACUGUGCACAUCUUGACGGUACCUAAUCAGAAAGCCACGGCUAACUACGUG